AGGACGAACGCUGGCGGCGCGCUUAACACAUGCAAGUCGAGCGAGAACCCAGGCUUCGGUCUGGGGGAAAGCGGCGAACGGGUGAGUAACACGUGGGUAAUCUGCCCUCGACAUCGGGAUAGCCCGGGGAAACCCGGAUUAAUACCGAAUGGCCCAUCAGCUUUUCGAAGCGGAUGGAAAAGGUAGCUUCGGCCUCCGGUCGAGGAGGAGCCCGCGGCGGAUUAGCUUGUUGGUGAGGUAACGGCUCACCAAGGCUUCGAUCCGUAGCUGGUCUGAGAGGACGAUCAGCCACACUGGGACUGAGACACGGCCCAGACUCCUACGGGAGGCAGCAGUGGGGAAUCUUGCGCAAUGGGCGAAAGCCUGACGCAGCGACGCCGCGUGAGGGAAGAAGGCCUUCGGGUUGUAAACCUCUUUCAGGAGGGACGAAGCCACUCGGGUUAAUAGCCCAGAGGGUGACGGUACCUCCAGAAGAAGCCCCGGCUAACUACGUGCCAGCAGCCGCGGU
rnacentral:rRNA from 1 species